AACUCAUCUUUAAGAAGCUUGGCCAGACAGUGGGUAGGUGCGUGGCCCCUGGAGCAUGUGUAGCUUUCAAGGAGUUUUAAAUUGAACAUGCUCAUGGAUGUGGGAAGGAAACCAGUAAAGACGGAAGGUCUAACACACCUCGCUUGGUACACAGGUCGACACACGCCUCAUCCACCUUGGACUUGUGUUCUUCUGCCGUAAACCAAGGUGUCUUGGAAACCCCAGUUGAACCGUCUCACUGAGGAUUCCUGAUGGAGUAAAGCCACAUCCUCGAAGCAACCAACAUACCCCAUAAAUGAGCUCAUGUCCUCCUCAUCUACAGCGGUACCAGGUGUGAAGCAUUCUUAGUAAAUAUUAGAAAAUACUCAAGUCUCUGCAGG
rnacentral:lncRNA from 1 species